UUGGGUCGUAAACCGCUUUUAUCAGGGAAGAAGUUCUGACGGUACCUGAUGAAAAAGCCUCGGCUAACUCCGUGCCAGCAGCCGCGGUAAUACGGAGGAGGCAAGCGUUAUCCGGAAUUAUUGGGCGUAAAGCGUCCGCAGGUGGUGUUGUAAGUCUGCUGUCAAAGACAGAAGCUCAACUUCUGAAAGGCGGUGGAAACUGCAAAACUAGAGUACAGUAGGGGUAGAGGGAAUUCCCAGUGUAGCGGUGAAAUGCGUAGAGAUUGGGAAGAACACCGGUGGCGAAAGCGCUCUACUGGGCUGUAACUGACACUGAGGGACGAAAGCUAGGGGAGCGAAUGGGAUUAGAUACCCCAGUAGUCCUAGCCGUAAACGAUGGAAACUAGGCGUGGCUUGUAUCGACCCGAGCCGUGCCGAAGCUAACGCGUUAAGUUUCCCGCCUGGGGAGUACGCACGCAAGUGUGAAACUCAAAGGAAUUGACGGGGGCCCGCACAAGCGGUGGAGUAUGUGGUUUAAUUCGAUGCAACGCGAAGAACCUUACCAGGGCUUGACAUCUGGCGAAUCUUUCUGAAAGGAGAGAGUGCCUUAGGGAGCGCCAAGA
rnacentral:rRNA from 1 species